AACGUAGGAGGCAAGCGUUAUCCGGAUUUACUGGGCGUAAAGCGUGUGCAGGCGGUUGUCCAAGUCGUGUAUGAAAGCGCUCCGCUUAACGGGGCGAGGCUAGACGAGACUGGGCGACUAGAAUCAGACAGAGGCAAGCGGAAUUCCGGGUGUAGUGGUGAAAUGCGUAGAGAUCCGGAGGAACACCAGAGGCGCAGGCCGGCUUGGCUGGGUCUGUAUUGACGCUCAGACACGAAAGGCAUGGGGAGCGAACGGGG
rnacentral:rRNA from 1 species